UACGAAGGUGGCAAGCGUUGUUCGGAUUCACUGGGCGUACAGGGUGUGUAGGCGGUUUGGUAAGCCUUCUGUUAAAGCUUCGGGCCCAACCCGGAAAGCGCAGAGGGUACUGCCAGGCUAGAGGGCGGGAGAGGAGCGCGGAAUUCCCGGUGUAGCGGUGAAAUGCGUAGAGAUCGGGAGGAAGGCCGGUGGCGAAGGCGGCGCUCUGGAACGUACCUGACGCUGAGACACGAAAAGCGUGGGGAGCAACAGGAUAGAA
rnacentral:rRNA from 1 species